AUACUUACCUGGAUGGGGUCAAUGGGUGAUCAAGAAGGCCCAUGGCCUAGGGGAGUGACCUCCAUUGCACUUAGGAGGGGUGCUUCUCUAAGGUCUGUCCAAGUGACAGAGCCUACAUCAUAAUUUGUGGUAGUGGUAGUGGGGGCCUGCGUUCGCGCAGCCCCCUC
rfam:Cajanus cajan CcLG09_278, whole genome shotgun sequence.